GGAGUUAGCCGGUGCUUCUUCUGUGAGUGAUGUCCUUCCUGCCGGCUAUUAACCCGCAGGCCUUCUUCCUCACUGAAAGUGCUUUACAACCCGAAGGCCUUCUUCACACACGCGGCAUGGCUGGAUCAGGGUUGCCCCCAUUGUCCAAUAUUCCCCACUGCUGCCUCCCGUAGGAGUCUGGGCCGUGUCUCAGUCCCAGUGUGGCUGAUCAUCCUCUCAGACCAGCUACGGAUCGUCGCCUUGGUGAGCCGUUACCUCACCAACCAGCUAAUCCGACAUAGGCUCAUCCGAUAGCGCGAGGCCCGAAGGUCCCCCGCUUUCCCCCGUAGGGCGUAUGCGGUAUUAGCCUGGGUUUCCCCAGGUUAUCCCCCACUACCGGGCAGAUUCCUAUGCAUUACUCACCCGUCCGCCGCUCGCCACCAGGGAGCAAGCUCCCCGUGCUGCCGCUCGACUUGCAUGUGUUAGGCCUGCCGCCAGCGUUCAAUCUGAGCCAUAAUCAAAUUCUGA
rnacentral:rRNA from 1 species